CCUACGGGUGGCAGCAGUCGAGAAUCAUUCACAAUGGGGGAAACCCUGAUGCUGCGACGCCGCGUGGGGGAAUGAAGGUCUUCGGUUUGUAACCCCCUGUCUUGUGGGAGCAAAUUAAAAAGAUAGUACCACAAGAGGAAGAGACGUCUAACUCUGUGCCAGCAGCCGAGGGAAUACAGAGUUCUCAAGUGUUGUUCGGAAUCACUGGGCGUAAAGCGUGCGUAAGCUGUUUCGUAAGUCGUGUGUGAAAGGCGAGGGCUCAACCAGCGGACCGCACAUGAUAUUGCGAGACUAGAGUAAGGGAGAGGUAAGUGGAAUUCUCGGGGUAGGAGUGAAAUGCGUAGAUAUCGAGAGGAACACUCGUGGCGAAGGCGAGUUCCUGGACAUUAACUGACGCUGAGGCACGAAGGCCAGGGGAGCGAAAGGGAUUAGAUACCCGAGUAGUC
rnacentral:rRNA from 1 species